UUAAUACUAAAUUUUUCUUUAAAGACAAUAGAUUAUUCUUCUUUAUGGAAAUUUUUAUUUGAUAUUAGAAGUUACGGAUUACCUUCUUGUAAUUUAACUUUUGGAUUUGUUAGAUAUUUGAAAUAGAAGGAAAAAUUAUCGAUCCUACAUUUGGUAGAAAUAAGAAUAGAUUUUCAACUAUUGUAGAUUAUUAUAAACUUAUCAACACUCUUCAGAUGGAAAUUUCACACAUCACAAGUGCC
rnacentral:lncRNA from 1 species